rnacentral:lncRNA from 1 species
AUGCGUUCACGUAAAGGUCUCCUUGUGUGCUCUUUGUCUUGGCCUCCCCAAGCUUUUUUUACUGCUUGGAAGACAAGAAUUCCCCCAGUUUUAUUUGCAGCCUCAGAUAACAGGAAUCCAGGGAAGGUGCGGAGCCAGUCACGCUCCUUUUGCUUCAGCUCUUGUGCUGAAAGGUGCACAAAGAGAAAGAAGUGGCACUUCCCCAGAGGACUGAGGCCCCUUUCCUUGGAGGCGCACAAGAAUGUGUUUCCUUAUUUGCCCAAGAAGAUUGAAAGUCAGAUAAAAGCAGAGUGGUUUUACCUGAGCACUUCUGGCCGGGGGCCGUGUCCCCGUUCAGAUAAAGGCGGCGACAGCCCGCUAUCGACCAACUCGCCAGGGAUGGCCGCAAAUCCGCCAAGUCAUGCUGCCCUUGCAAGGGGCGGGCAGGGCAGGGAGGGGCGGCAGCGGCGGCCCCCCCUCCCCUCCCCGUUCCGCGGCGGCGGAAGGAGCCCGUCUCCUCGCGAGAGCGGGGCGGGUAUAAAGGGGCGGGCGCGGGGGGGCUGCCGCAGUGUGGGCCUUCCUGCGGCGGCGGAGAGUGCGAGGCUUCGGCUCUUUGUAAUGAAAGGAAACAACAUGCGGAGCCUGUGGUCUGAUGCUCUGUGGGUUAGGAAAUGCUGUGGCUGAAAAUCCGAGCACAACAUGUGAGAACACGUGCUCACCCCACGCGGAAAAGCAGAAAUGUUG